rnacentral:rRNA from 1 species
UACGUAGGGACCGAGCGUUGUCCGGAAUCAUUGGGCGUAAAGAGCGUGUAGGCGGCCACUUAAGUCCUGCGUGAAAUCUUGCGGCUCAACCGCAAGCGGUCGUGGGAAACUGGGUGGCUAGAGUGCGGGAGAGGAGAGUGGAAUUCCUGGUGUAGCGGUGGAAUGCGCAGAUAUCAGGAGGAACACCGGUGGCGAAGGCGGGUCUCUGGGCAAUAACUGACGCUGAGGAGCGAAAGCGUGGGGAGCGAACAGG